rnacentral:rRNA from 1 species
GAUGAACGCUGGCGGCGUGCCUAAUACAUGCAAGUCGAGCGAACAGACGAGGAGCUUGCUCCUCUGACGUUAGCGGCGGACGGGUGAGUAACACGUGGAUAACCUACCUAUAAGACUGGGAUAACUUCGGGAAACCGGAGCUAAUACCGGAUAACAUGUUGAACCGCAUGGUUCAACAGUGAAAGACGGUCUUGCUGUCACUUAUAGAUGGAUCCGCGCCGCAUUAGCUAGUUGGUAAGGUAACGGCUUACCAAGGCAACGAUGCGUAGCCGACCUGAGAGGGUGAUCGGCCACACUGGAACUGAGACACGGUCCAGACUCCUACGGGAGGCAGCAGUAGGGAAUCUUCCGCAAUGGACGAAAGCCUGACGGAGCAACGCCGCGUGAGUGAAGAAGGUCUUCGGAUCGUAAAACUCUGUUAUUAGGGAAGAACAAAUGUGUAAGUAACUAUGCACGUCUUGACGGUACCUAAUCAGAAAGCCACGGCUAACUACGUG